AUCACUUUCAGGUCUUUUGGCUAAGAUCAAGUGCAGUAUCUGUCCUUAUCAGUUUAAUAUCUGAUAGAUACUCUAUCUGAGGACAAUAUAUUAAAUGGAUUUUUGGAACGAAGAGUUGGAAUAGAAGCUCGCUCCAUCCACUGCACACAUUGACCUGGUGGUAUUGCAGUGCCUUCAGGAAUGGUGCACAAGAA